rnacentral:rRNA from 1 species
UACGUAGGGGGCAAGCGUUGUCCGGAUUUAUUGGGCGUAAAGAGCGUGUAGGCGGUUUGGUAGGUCCGCUGUGAAAACUCGAGGCUCAACCUCGAGACGCCGGUGGAAACCAUCAGGCUAGAGUCCGGAAGAGGAGAGUGGAAUUCCUGGUGUAGCGGUGAAAUGCGCAGAUAUCAGGAAGAACACCCGUGGCUAAGGCGGCUCUCUAGUACGUGACUGACGCUGAGACGCGAAAGCGUGGGGAGCAAACAGG